GUUGAAAAGAAAGAAUUAGAUCGAACCUGGAAAAAAACGAGGUGGAUUUCACAGGAGGAAGAAGAUGGAUGCAGAGUUAGCCAUUUCUGCUUGACAAAUGUCUGGAUGUUUAUUUGGCUAACAAMAACAACAACCAWACUUCAGAUGACCACACAUCAUUUCCUGGUCCAUUCCAGUGUUGUUGGUAACGCAGAUUGAUCAGAAACUGUCCCAGACACACGGGAAUAUGGAGGAAUCAUCUUUCAACAAUAAUGUAUUUACCUGUGCAAAUAAAUAACGGAUUUAUUUUACCCAUAUGUCAAAUAAAGCAUAUAUUUAAUAAU